rnacentral:rRNA from 1 species
CCUACGGGUGGCUGCAGUGGGGAAUAUUGGACAAUGGGGGCAACCCUGAUCCAGCCAUGCCGCGUGUGUGAAGAAGGCCCUCGGGUUGUAAAGCACUUUCAGUGAGGAAGAACGCCUGGUGGUUAAUACCCAUCAGGAAAGACAUCACUCACAGAAGAAGCACCGGCUAACUCCGUGCCAGCAGCCGCGGUAAUACGGAGGGUGCGAGCGUUAAUCGGAAUUACUGGGCGUAAAGCGCGCGUAGGUGGCUUGAUAAGCCGGUUGUGAAAGCCCCGGGCUCAACCUGGGAACGGCAUCCGGAACUGUCAAGCUAGAGGGCAGGAGAGGAAGGUAGAAUUCCCGGUGUAGCGGUGAAAUGCGUAGAGAUCGGGAGGAAUACCAGUGGCGAAGGCGGCCUUCUGGACUGACACUGACACUGAGGUGCGAAAGCGUGGGUAGCAAACAGGAUUAGAUACCCUGGUAGUC